rnacentral:rRNA from 1 species
GGAAUCGCUAGUAAUCGCGGAUCAGCAUGCCGCGGUGAAUACGUUCCCGGGCCUUGUACACACCGCCCGUCACACCAUGAGAGUCGGGAACACCCGAAGUCCGUAGCCUAANAGCAAUGGGGGCGCGGCCGAAGGUGGGUUCGAUAAUUGGGGUGAAGUCGUAACAAGGUAGC